UACGUAGGUGGCAAGCGUUGUCCGGAAUUAUUGGGCGUAAAGCGCGCGCAGGCGGUCCUUUAAGUCUGAUGUGAAAGCCCACGGCUCAACCGUGGAAGGUCAUUGGAAACUGGAGGACUUGAGUACAGAAGAGGAAAGCGGAAUUCCACGUGUAGCGGUGAAAUGCGUAGAGAUGUGGAGGAACACCAGUGGCGAAGGCGGCUUUUUGGUCUGUAACUGACGCUGAGGCGCGAAAGCGUGGGGAGCAAACAGG
rnacentral:rRNA from 1 species